GACGAACGCUGGCGGCGUGCCUAAUACAUGCAAGUCGAGCGCAGGAAACUGACGGAACUCUUCGGAGGGAAGGCAGUGGAAUGAGCGGCGGACGGGUGAGUAACACGUAAGGAACCUGCCUCAAGGAUUGGGAUAACUCCGAGAAAUCGGAGCUAAUACCGGAUAGUUCAACGGACCGCAUGGUCCGCGGAUGAAAGGCGCUCCGGCGUCACCUUGAGAUGGCCUUGCGGUGCAUUAGCUAGUUGGUGGGGUAACGGCCCACAAAGGCGACGAUGCAUAGCCGACCUGAGAGGGUGAUCGGCCACACUGGGACUGAGACACGGCCCAGACUCCUACGGGAGGCAGCAGUAGGGAAUCUUCCACAAUGGACGAAAGUCUGAUGGAGCAACGCCGCGUGAGUGAUGAAGGUUUUCGGAUCGUAAAACUCUGUUGUAAGGGAAGAACACGUACGAGAGGGAAUGCUCGUACCUUGACGGUACCUUACGAGAAAGCCACGGCUAACUACGUGCCAGCAGCCGCGGUAACAC
rnacentral:rRNA from 1 species